UGUCUCCUCCAUCCUCCUUCUUUGGUGGAAUUACGCGCAACCCAAUCGGUUGCGCUUUUUUUU
rnacentral:ncRNA from 1 species